UACGGAGGGGGCUAGCGUUGUUCGGAAUUACUGGGCGUAAAGGGCGCGUAGGCGGCCUUCUAAGUCGAACGUGAAAUCCCCGGGCUCAACCCGGGAACUGCGUCCGAGACUGGAAGGCUCGAAUCCGGGAGAGGGAUGUGGAAUUCCAGGUGUAGCGGUGAAAUGCGUAGAUAUCUGGAGGAACAUCGGUGGCGAAGGCGGCAUCCUGGACCGGUAUUGACGCUGAGGCGCGAAAGCCAGGGGAGCAAACGGG
rnacentral:rRNA from 1 species